UAAAUUGAGAGUUUGAUCCUGGCUCAGGAUGAACGCUGGCGGCGUGCUUAACACAUGCAAGUCGAGCGAUGAAGUUUCCUUCGGGAAACGGAUUAGCGGCGGACGGGUGAGUAACACGUGGGUAACCUGCCUCAUAGAGUGGAAUAGCCUUCCGAAAGGAAGAUUAAUACCGCAUAACGUUGAAAGAUGGCAUCAUCAUUCAAUCAAAGGAGCAAUCCGCUAUGAGAUGGACCCGCGGCGCAUUAGCUAGUUGGUGGGGUAACGGCCUACCAAGGCGACGAUGCGUAGCCGACCUGAGAGGGUGAUCGGCCACAUUGGGACUGAGACACGGCCCAGACUCCUACGGGAGGCAGCAGUGGGGAAUAUUGCACAAUGGGGG
rnacentral:rRNA from 1 species